ACGGAAGGCAGCAGUGGGGGAUAUUGCACAAUGGGGGAAACCCUGAUGCAGCAAUGCCGCGUGAGGGAAGACGGUCUUCGGAUUGUAAACCUCAGUAGUCAGGGAUGAAGAAAGUGACAUUACCUGAAGAGUAAGCUCCGGCUAACUACGUGCCAGCAGCCGCGGUAAUACGUAGGGAGCGAGCGUUGUCCGGAUUUACUGGGUGUAAAGGGUGCGUAGGCGGGCUUGCGAGUCAGGCGUGAAAUACCGGGGAUUAACGCCGGGGCUGCGCUUGAAACUGUAAGUCUUGAGUGAAGUAGAGGCAGGCGGAAUUCCCAGUGUAGCGGUGAAAUGCGUAGAUAUUGGGAGGAACACCAGUGGCGAAGGCGGACUGCUGGGCUUUAACUGACGCUGAGGCACGAAAGUAUGGGGAGCAAACAGGAUUAGAUACCAUGGUA
rnacentral:rRNA from 1 species